GAUGAACGCUGGCGGCGUGCCUAAUACAUGCAAGUCGAGCGAACAGAUGAGGAGCUUGCUCCUCUGACGUUAGCGGCGGACGGGUGAGUAACACGUGGAUAACCUACCUAUAAGACUGGGAUAACUUCGGGAAACCGGAGCUAAUACCGGAUAAUAUAUUGAACCGCAUGGUUCAAUAGUGAAAGACGGUUUUGCUGUCACUUAUAGAUGGAUCCGCGCCGCAUUAGCUAGUUGGUAAGGUAACGGCUUACCAAGGCAACGAUGCGUAGCCGACCUGAGAGGGUGAUCGGCCACACUGGAGCUGAGACACGGUCCAGACUCCUACGGGAGGCAGCAGUAGGGAAUCUUCCGCAAUGGGCGAAAGCCUGACGGAGCAACGCCGCGUGAGUGAUGAAGGUCUUCGGAUCGUAAAACUCUGUUAUUAGGGAAGAACAAAUGUGUAAGUAACGAUGCACGUCUUGACGGUACCUAAGCAGAAAGCCACGGCUAACUACGU
rnacentral:rRNA from 1 species